rnacentral:rRNA from 1 species
GAUGAACGCUGGCGGCGUGCUUAACACAUGCAAGUCGAACGAAGCAAUCUAACGGAAGUUUUCGGAUGGAAGCUGGAUUGACUGAGUGGCGGACGGGUGAGUAACGCGUGGGUAACCUGCCUCACACUGGGGGACAACAGUUAGAAAUGACUGCUAAUACCGCAUAAGCGCACAGGACCGCAUGGUCUAGUGUGAAAAACUCCGGUGGUGUGAGAUGGACCCGCGUUUGAUUAGCUAGUUGGUGGGGUAACGGCCUACCAAGGCGACGAUCAAUAGCCGACCUGAGAGGGUGACCGGCAACAUUGGGACUGAGACACGGCCCAAACUCCUACGGGAGGCAACAGUGGGGAAUAUUGCACAAUGGGGGAAACCCUGAUGCAGCGACGCCGCGUGAGUGAAGAAGUAUUUCGGUAUGUAAAGCUCUAUCAGCAGGGAAGAAAAUGACGGUACCCGACUAAGAAGCCCCGGCUAACUACGUGCCAGCCGCCGCCGUAA